rnacentral:lncRNA from 1 species
CACUCUCCAGAGUGCGUUUCAGACCGCUGCCCGCCUGUGGGAACUGGGCUGCCUCACAGGCCGGGCUCUGCAGGCGCUCAGUGGGGAACUAGACCGGAAACCUUUAGGGGGUGGCUCUCUGCAUCCUCUGGGACCCAGAUGGGAAGCGGUGGCUUCCUCUGGUGUCCUUAACGAAGGUUAUCGCUCAUGCCCAGUAGCCACACGGAACUCAGAAGCUGUCAGCCAGGAUCUGAACUUGCAACCUGAGAGGUGGAUGGUGGUGGGACAUGCUGGUGGGCAGGAGCUGAGGACCUGGGCGGCAGAGCCAGGACAUCCCUCCCUCAUCUUCAGUGUCCCGCUGGAAGUGGAGGAAAGCGAGGCCCAGCACGCGCAGUCCCGGGGGGCUUCACCAUCCAUCUGCUGUGGUCCCGUGGGGCUCUACUCCAGCCCC